AUUGAACGCUGGCGGCAGGCCUAACACAUGCAAGUCGAGCGGAUGACGGGAGCUUGCUCCUUGAUUCAGCGGCGGACGGGUGAGUAAUGCCUAGGAAUCUGCCUGGUAGUGGGGGACAACGUUUCGAAAGGAACGCUAAUACCGCAUACGUCCUACGGGAGAAAGCAGGGGACCUUCGGGCCUUGCGCUAUCAGAUGAGCCUAGGUCGGAUUAGCUAGUUGGUGGGGUAAUGGCUCACCAAGGCGACGAUCCGUAACUGGUCUGAGAGGAUGAUCAGUCACACUGGAACUGAGAAACGGUCCAGACUCCUACGGGAGGCAGCAGUGGGGAAUAUUGGACAAUGGGCGAAAGCCUGAUCCAGCCAUGCCGCGUGUGUGAAGAAGGUCUUCGGAUUGUAAAGCACUUUAAGUUGGGAGGAAGGGCAGUAAGCUAAUACCUUGCUGUUUUGACGUUACCGACAGAAUAAGCACCGGCUAACUCUGUGCCAGCCGCCGCGGUAA
rnacentral:rRNA from 1 species